GACGAACGCUGGCGGCGUGCUUAACACAUGCAAGUCGAACGGAAAGGCCCUGCUUUUGUGGGGUGCUCGAGUGGCGAACGGGUGAGUAACACGUGAGUAACCUGCCCUUGACUUUGGGAUAACUUCAGGAAACUGGGGCUAAUACCGGAUAGGAGCUCCUGCUGCAUGGUGGGGGUUGGAAAGUUUCGGCGGUUGGGGAUGGACUCGCGGCUUAUCAGCUUGUUGGUGGGGUAGUGGCUUACCAAGGCUUUGACGGGUAGCCGGCCUGAGAGGGUGACCGGCCACAUGGGGACUGAGAUACGGCCCAGACUCCUACGGGAGGCAGCAGUGGGGAAUAUUGCACAAGGGGCGGAAGCCUGAUGCAGCAACGCCGCGUGCGGGAUGACGGCCUUCGGGUUGUAAACCGCUUUCGCCUGUGACGAAGCGUGAGUGACGGUAAUGGGUAAAGAAGCACCGGCUAACUACG
rnacentral:rRNA from 1 species